AUGUACUGUGCAUAUGUGCCUAAAUCAAUGAUGUGUAAGAUUUGCUUGUGGUGGUGGGUUUGUGAAAAACUGACAAUGGUGGUGGGAUAGUGAUUUUGUUUGUUUUUGUACACACAAAGAAAGGAGAGAGGGACAAUAGAGAGAAUAGAGGGCAGGGGAGAAUCAGAGAGAUGAGAGAGAGAAGAGAGGGCUGACUAAUGGCAUUAAUGGUGUUUAGGGACUAAAUUGGUUAAUUUUAAAAUUUUUUGAAUCUAGUUGGUAUUAGCCCAAACCUCAAGGUAGGUUACUGAAAUUUACCCUUAUUAAUAAUAUACCUACCUUAUUUUGACUAGAAAUAUUUUAACCAUUAUCAAAUAAAUCUUGAACUUGAGGAAAGAGCUAUCAUUUGCCUUACCCAUCACACUUUUAAGUCUUAAUAUGGUUUGUUAAAGACAUAUCAAGCCCAAUAGGUCCAAACCCAAUUUUACUUAAUGUGUGCAAGACAAAAAUUAUAUUUGUUUCACAAGUCUAUUAACUAUAAUUAAUGUAUGGUCAGUUUAAGGUUUCACUUUUAUUGUAACACAAGAUUUAUACUUCACUCAUAGAUAAGAUAUAUAGCUCUCAAAGGCUUCUUCUAUAUUCAUAGACCAUUAGUUUAAACCACAUAAAUUUCCAAUGUUUCUUUCUUCUUCUCUUUUAUGUUUCUUUCCUACUAUUUAUUUAACAUUGUUUGUUAUUCUAUCAUUAUACUACAUCCUAAAAUCAAGCUCGUUUGGGGCAAGUUUUAUUUUUCUUUAAAAAAUCUUCAGAAUUGUUAGAGAUAUAUUAAACCCAAUAGCAUAGGGGAGCCUAAUCUUACUUAAUGUGUAAACUAAGUACAAAUCUUGUGUUACAAUGAACCCACUAUAUAUAUAGGUACAUAUAAGAUGCUAAAUCCUAGAUUAACUAUAUUAACUAUGAUUAAUAGACUUGUUUUACAAAUACUUGGCUUGCACACUAAGUUAGAUUGGACUUGAGCUUUGUAAGGUUGAAUUUAAUCAACCAUCUAAUUGGCUUUAUUCCGUGACCAAUUUGCUUGUAAUUUAGCACUUAGUAACCCUGUAUUUAGGUGGGAAAAUUGUAAGGGUAGUGUGUGAGAAGAUGUGAAGAAAAGCUCAAGAGUGUGCAAGAAAAACAGAGUCUCGCGACUAGGACUCGCAGGUAGUUCGCGACUAGGACUCGCGGGUGGUUCGCGACUGGCAAGCCGCGAAAGGCAGUCACGUGAGAGGCACACUGGGAAGCUGAAGGGUCGCGCCAGCUGUCACGCUACAGGACAAAAGUUCCAGUCUGGCCAGGCCGUUACGUCGCGACUUAAUUUCGCGACUUGGCCAAGCCGCGAGAUCAAGUCGCCAACUUGCCCUAUUUGGCAAAAACUGACGUUUUGCAUUCCCUUCUCACCCUACUAUAUAUACACCCUUAUACCCAUCAUAUUGAGAGAGCUUUUAGAGAGAAUUUUGUGAGAGAAAACCCUAGAGAAAUACAAGAUUGAUUCAUCCCCAAUCUUCAUCUAAAGAGACUCUACAAAUUCCUCUACUCUCUUCCUCUCCAUUGUCAUACCCUUGAGAGGUCACUUACCAAACCCUUGUCUCACCACACCCACGUCUGUGAGAAGGUCCAUUUGGUGCUUUAGGAAGCAGUUUGGAAAGGAACCAAUAUAUAUUGGUUGAUGCUAUGGUCAAGUAGCGGAAUCCGGGAAGCUAGAGAAGAAAUAGGUUCGGCGUAACCUCGUUGGAGCAAGAAGCUUAGAGGAUUUAGGUACUUGGGUAGAUUAGGCUUGGAGGAUCUUCUGCUGUUCAUGUAUCCCAACUACAUUCUUUAGUGGAUUAUUUGACCGCUUGGAGGGCGGCGGAGAGGUUUUACGCCGAGGACUUCGGUUUCCUCUUCGAUAACACAUCGUGUGUUGUCCGUGUGUUUGCAUCUUCUUUCCCUUUACAUUUGCCUUAUAUUUACUGUUGUGGAUGUGUUUAUAUUUGGCUUAGAUUAUUCUAUCAAUUCAGUUAUAAGCUUUUUAUCAUAUUUCACACAUAAAUUGUUUGAUAUAAAGUUUGAAUUGGUAUUUUUGUUAUUUGGAGUCUAAACGUUCAAAUGUGUUUUAUACCCUUUUUGAACUUUCAAGCUUAAUAUAUCUCUAACAAAAAUAUAAAAAAUAAAACAUUUGAAAAUUAAAUAAUCCUUCUAAAGUGCACUAAAAAAAAGGUUAAAAUGGAUUGGCUUUGGCUCUAAUUGAUGCGAUCAACUUCGUUUAGUUUAGUUUUUGUAGUUUCAAUUUCUUUUCAGUAUUGGAGUUUUAUGGAUUUCUAGGGUUUUGAACUGUCGGAUUAUGCGAAUAAUGUACAUAGAGCUAAUUGUUUAUUACUUGUUGAAAUCUUUGUGAUAUGUGUCUAUGGAUUUCUAGGGUUUUAAUUGUUUAUUGCUUGAAUUUUAAUUUGUUUAUUGCUAAGGGAGCCAAGAGGGCCGUUGCUUGAAAUCUAUAGAAAUUAGAUAAAAAUAAGUGGUGGAUAUGCUUAUCUGUUUUUGUAGUAUCAUUUGAAAGGUCUCUUGUUCUCUUUUACAGGAAUAUGGGUUUGGGGAACCCCUAUAGAAUUGGAUAUUGAUGGAGUUAGAACCUCUGUCUUUUACCUUGACACAGAGGGAUUUGAAAGUAUUGGGAAAUCUAAUGUAUAUGAUGACCGGUAAUCUCUAACACUUUGGUUUGCAAUUGCCGGUUGUAAAUUUUUUGCGUGCUUUGCAUUUCUAAUAUCUGCUUUUGCAGGAUUUUUGCUCUGGCAACUGUCAUGAGUUCUGUGCUCAUCUAUAACCUGCCUGAGACAGUUAGUUGCCCUGACUUUUACUUCUUCAUCAUUUUGUUAAUUUCUCUUGCUUGGAACUGAAUUACUUUCUUAGUUUACUUAAGGACCAAAUCUGGGGUUGAGGAUGAGAAUAGUAGGAUAGUCAUUUCCUGGAUUUUGUAUGGGUGUGGUUGUAGAGAAGAAAUAUGGUUCCAAUUGUGAAUAAGAUAUGUUCUGUCUUGGAUGUGGGUGGCCGUGAAAGAAUGCAAAAAAAAAAUGAGAAAACAUAUCCUGCUUUGAAGGGGCAAGAGUGAUGGAUGAUAUAGAGAAUCCACUUACAAAAUAUUUUAUAGAUUUAUCAUGUCAUUAGUUAAGACAGUUCGUUUUAGGUUCUUGAGAUGCCAAUUACAUAUGAGCCUUUACUUCAUUUGCAAGGUUUUAUGAAGCAACUUUUGUUCAAGCCCGCAUUUCACUUUGGCACGUCUUGGUUAAUAUGGCUAUAGUAAUUUGUUUGUCUCAUUGUGUGCCUAGAUUUGUGAGGCUGACAUCUCUCGGCUGUCAUUUGCUGUUGAGCUUGCUGAAGAAUUUUAUGGGAGGUAUACAAUACAAUUCUCCAAGUUCUUUAUGAAGCAUUUUAUGUUAUUAUAGCAUUGGUGGUUUUGAACAACCUUUUUUUAUUAGCAAAGCUAACUUUAUUUUUCUGGUUUAAUGUACAAUAAACAUAACAUGGUAAAUAGAGUGAAGGUAAUUUAUGAACCCUUGUAUAUAUUUUUUUUAAUUGUAAAAUUUCUUAUAUUGAGUUUUAUUGCUAACACUUUGUUAUGCAUUUGAAUGGCUGGGUACUUUCAUAGGGCCAACAUAUUGCCUUUAAGCCUGCAAAGCUUUUGUGGCUUAUCCAGAGUGAUUUUCUACGUAAGUUUAGAAAUGCUUUCCUAGGAUAUUUUUUUGUUGUUGAAAUAUGAAUUAAGAAAGGUCCAAGCGUUUUUGGACCCAAUCACCUUUUUCUUAAGCUUCCAAGAUCAGGCUGUAAAAAUUAAAAUGGAUUUUGACAAGUUUUUGACUUGGGAGAUUCCCAAAGGAUGGUGCCCCACUUUUGUAGUUAGAUGGAAACUGAUAUUGUUGGUGGUGUUUUAUAGAAGGGAAAUCUGUGCAAGAAAUGGUGGAUGAAGCUCUUCGACAUGUGCCAAACAAUGAUGGUAAGGCUUUUUUUUACCAUACUUGCACUCAAUCUGUAUGAAUUAUAUUACAAUACCCUUACUGCAACUUUAUAACCAAUUUUUGAUAGUGGGGCACUUGUCAUAUAUAUUUACAGGGGACAAAAAGUAUAUACCAAAAGAAUUCCCUUUGAAUCGAUUUAAUGAAUGCAUUUAUCACUAGUUCUAAGAAUAUGGACUUAAUGACUUUACAUAAACCUCUAAAGAACAGAAAAUGGUGAUGAAAUUCACCUGGUAAUUACCCUAUAUUUGUUUGUCCAAGUCUUGGGGUCACUUUAUGAAGUCUAGCUAGCUCCUUUCCAAACCUGUAGUAUUAUUUUAUCCUUAAUGGCAUCAUGAUUGCAUAUUCCUCAGGGCCCUACGGUCCCCAUACCAUGUUCUAUGAUAGUUCCAUUGUUAUAAACUGAGAAUAGCUAGCUAGCAUACUAUAAAUAAAUUAAGGUGUUAAUUAUUUUUAGUGACAAGACUAGAGAGAGAGAGAGAGAGAGAGAGAGAGAGAGAGAUGGUGAGAGGCCUCUUCUAUGACAAAACCACACACUCAUGUUUUGAGAAAUUGACUACAAAACCCUACACGCAAGUUUAGAAAACCUAACUAUAAAAUUACAUCCAUGAAAAACACGCAGAAAAUUGAUUGAUAUUCUACAGCAAAGAGUUGUGGUUGGCUGUGCAGAAUCGGAUUUGCUUGUGUUAAAGAUAUCUCUUGGGGGUUUAUAUCUUUAACAGAUUGGAAAUUGAGUUAUUGGUUUUGUCUUGAAUCUUAAUUUGUGGUUUUUAUGUGUCAAGGAUUUUUGUCCAACUUGAAUACUGUUGGUUGAUGUAGGUUGUAGCAACUGAGUUGUUAAUUGAGCAUUUAUGAUGUAGUUGGAGUAUGAAAAAGAAGAAGCUGAGUCUGAAUACGAAGAAAGGGAAAGUGAGAGGGAGAUGAAGCGAAAGCUAACAAUGGAGAUGAGGAGAUGGGGAGAUGGAACUACUAGAAGAAGAGUAUAA
rnacentral:sRNA from 1 species